GGAACAUCUAGAGGGCAACUCAAGCUAGCCCGAAAUCAUUCCAGUGGAAUGAAAAAUGGAGAAUUAGCUCUGACGGUCUCUGGAGGAACUUGAGAAGUGUGGAGGUUGGAAAUGAAUCAGUUAUGCAUCAGCCACAUUUUAUACUCUUGUCCUGAGACUAAAGCAGUUAUGGUCUGGGCUCCUGGUUCCAGAACUACAGUGAUGUGUUCCAAGUCUACAAUGGAGACAUCUUGGGAAUACUUACAAAGAACUCAGUCCAAACCUCACCCCACCGCACACAUCCACAGUGGCAUGAGGGAAAAGGUGAAGGAGCUUUGCCUGUGGGAAAUGGGAAGCAGAGUCCGUGUCGACAGGGAUGUAGCAUGCCAGCUUCCAAAGCAGCAUCCAUUUCACUCUCCUGAAGGCUUCCGGAAAAUUUUGCCACAUAAGCUUUAUUGUGUAUGAUCCCAUUCAAGGUGUAAAGUAAAUAUAUAAUUAAUAAGUGUAACUAAUCAGCAGAAUACUGUUUUGAGUCUUGGGAAUGAAAUUUUCUUCUCUCUAUCUCACUGUUUAGUUUAUGCAUCAUGCUGUAUCACCCAGGCACUCCUCUGAAGGAGCAGGGCUGCAUGUGUCAAAGAGCAGGCUCAGCCUCAGCAAGGGGGCAAGAAUCAGGCUGCUGUGAGUUCACUCCAGUCACAGCCAGUUAGUCCCUGUUAAAUCAUCUCUAACUAUGGAGACAAUGAGGAAUUCUGUGGGAGAAAAACUUUCAGCUGUGCCUCAAUUCCUGCAGAGAGCAGGAUUUAAUGCUUUCAGUUGGAAGGUCACCCACGUAUUUUCCCGAGUGCAUACAUCAGCUGGUUUGGAAGACAGCACUUUACUAAUUGUUAGUGAUUGUCCUCCUUGCAGGACUAGCUGUUAUAUAGAGCUCAGCUUGUUCUUCAGUUUGAUCUGAUUAGUUCACAUUCAUUCUAUGUCCUACUCACCAGCGUGUCAACUUAGAGCACUGAUUCAUUUAAGUCAAAAUUGGUCAUCAUAUUUAUUUAACUACUAAGUUAUUUUCCAUAGUAAAUCCAUAAUACUUGGCUAGUAUUGGCAGAAAAUUUGUUAACCUAAUUGAAAGUGACACACAUUUUAGGCUUACAGUCUUAGUAGGAAUGUAUAAUAUGUUAAGGAGUAAGGUCUUUAAGGAAAUUAUUGACCUGGAUCACACUCGUUCCUAUACUGUAACUUCCUAUCUAUCAAAUGAAAACAUCAAAAACAAACACACCCACAGUUCAGAGCUACUAGUCCAGGCAAACUACAACUAACUUCUUUUAACAUGGAUAAGAAAAAAUGUUUUAAUAUUUUAUGUCAACAUUUCCCAUAGGCUGCUUCUUCCUGUAUUUAAUAUAUAUGAAUGGCGUUUUCCCUCUUGUUUCUCUUGGAGUGCUGAACUUUACUGUCACUUCCACAAAGAAAGGUUAUUUUUAUUUAUUGAGUACUUUAUAUAGAAACAGGAUAUUUAUACUUGUAUAUAUCUAUAUCUUAUAUCUAAGAUAUAUAAGCUCUAUAAUAAUAUCUACUCUAUAUAUAAUCUUAUGUCAUACAUAUCUUACGUCUUUAUCUGCAGGAAUAAAAUAUGCAUGCCACAUAUGACUACA
rnacentral:lncRNA from 1 species